UGCUUAGGCAGAGAUGAGGUAUGGACGGUCCACAGUGGGCUCCUGGCUCCCUCUGUGACCUGGGAAGCAAAACUGUCCCGUCAGACUGCAGCCAUAGGCGGAGGUGAAUCGUCAGGCUGGGGUAAGCCGUUCUUUAUGGCUAGGAGCUAUGACCUGUACAGCCUGAUUCAGUUCCUCAUCACCUGAGGCUGUUACCUAACGGAGAUGUGGUAUCAUUUUAUCAUUGAAAUUAGAAAGAAGCCAAAAGACUACACUAUUAUCAGCUAUCAAACCAAGGGGCUGGCAUGGACAAGGAACUUAUCCACAGUCAAGCUGACACCCAGCCUCCAUGGGAUUCACUUAAAAUUGCAGGAAAUGUUUAUCAUGGAAGAAACGAUGGAAGAACUAUGGGAGCCUGAAGAUAGGGGAGAGUGUUUUGAGACUUUGUCUUCUAUGAAGAGGCCUUGAUCUCAUCUACAAAGGUGAAGAAAUAUUCCCAAGAUCACAAGCUUAAUGGGUCAUCAGUUCAGAGCUAACAUGUAUUUUAUAUAA